GAUGAACGCUGGCGGCGUGCCUAAUACAUGCAAGUCGAGCGAACAGACGAGGAGCUUGCUCCUCUGACGUUAGCGGCGGACGGGUGAGUAACACGUGGAUAACCUACCUAUAAGACUGGGAUAACUUCGGGAAACCGGAGCUAAUACCGGAUAAUAUAUUGAACCGCAUGGUUCAAUAGUGAAAGACGGUUUUGCUGUCACUUAUAGAUGGAUCCGCGCCGCAUUAGCUAGUUGGUAAGGUAACGGCUUACCAAGGCAACGAUGCGUAGCCGACCUGAGAGGGUGAUCGGCCACACUGGAACUGAGACACGGUCCAGACUCCUACGGGAGGCAGCAGUAGGGAAUCUUCCGCAAUGGGCGAAAGCCUGACGGAGCAACGCCGCGUGAGGGAUGAAGGUCUUCGGAUCGUAAAACUCUGUUAGUAGGGAAGAACAAAUGUGUAAGUAACUAUGCACGUCUUGACGGUACCUAAUCAGAAAGCCACGGCUAACUACGUG
rnacentral:rRNA from 1 species